rnacentral:rRNA from 1 species
CACGUAUGAGGCGAGCGUUGUUCGGAAUUAUUGGGCGUAAAGCGCGUGUAGGCGGAGAAUUAAGUUAUGUGUGAAAUCUAUGGGCUUAACCCAUAAAUUGCACCUAAUACUGAUUCUCUUGAGUUCGGGAGAGGAGAGCGGAAUUCCCGGUGUAGCGGUGAAAUGCGUAGAUAUCGGGAAGAACACCAGUGGCGAAGGCGGCUCUCUGGCCUAGAACUGACGCUGAGACGCGAAAGCGUGGGGAG